ACAAACUCUGCGACGGUAAAAUUGAUUCGCACCUUGCCUUGUUGAGCGUAAUAUACGUUUCCGUGUCCCUGCUCGCGUACACGUUGCACAGCUCUUUUAAAGUUUCUUCUCGCUACGCACGAACCGUUAAUGGGCAAGGCAGCUUACUGUUCUUAUUAUCGCUAUGCCUACAUGAAUCGUAGGACGCAAUCAUUUUGCGUCAGUGUGUUACUGA